rnacentral:rRNA from 1 species
GAUGAACGCUGGCGGCGUGCUUAACACAUGCAAGUCGAACGGAAAGGCCCAAGCUUGCUUGGGUACUCGAGUGGCGAACGGGUGAGUAACACGUGGGUGAUCUGCCCUGCACUUCGGGAUAAGCCUGGGAAACUGGGUCUAAUACCGGAUAGGACCACUUCUUGGAUGUUGUGGUGGAAAGUUUUUUCGGUGUGGGAUGAGCUCGCGGCCUAUCAGCUUGUUGGUGGGGUAAUGGCCUACCAAGGCGUCGACGGGUAGCCGGCCUGAGAGGGUGUACGGCCACAUUGGGACUGAGAUACGGCCCAGACUCCUACGGGAGGCAGCAGUGGGGAAUAGUGCACAAUGGGCGCAAGCCUGAUGCAGCGACGCCGCGUGGGGGAGGACGGCCUUCGGGUUGUAAACUCCUUUCGCUAGGGACGAAGCGUUUUGUGACGGUACCUGGAGAAGAAGCACCGGCUAACUACGUG